rnacentral:rRNA from 1 species
GACGAACGCUGGCGGCGUGCUUAACACAUGCAAGUCGAACGGAAAGGCCCUGCUUUUGUGGGGUGCUCGAGUGGCGAACGGGUGAGUAACACGUGAGUAACCUGCCCUUGACUUUGGGAUAACUUCAGGAAACUGGGGCUAAUACCGGAUAGGAGCUCCUGCUGCAUGGUGGGGGUUGGAAAGUUUCGGCGGCUGGGGAUGGACUCGCGGCUUAUCAGCUUGUUGGUGGGGUAGUGGCUUACCAAGGCUUUGACGGGUAGCCGGACUGAGAGGGUGACCGGCCACAUUGGGACUGAGAUACGGCCCAGACUCCUACGGGAGGCAGCAGUGGGGAAUAUUGCACAAUGGGCGGAAGCCUGAUGCAGCAACGCCGCGUGCGGGAUGACGGCCUUCGGGUUGUAAACCGCUUUCGCCUGUGACGAAGCGUGAGUGACGGUAAUGGGUAAAGAAGCACCGGCUAACUAAGUG